AUCCAACUGACGAGUUACAAACAGGACGAAACGCGCGUUUAGGAU
rnacentral:hammerhead_ribozyme from 1 species